CCUACGGGUGGCAGCAGUGGGGAAUAUUGGACAAUGGGCGAAAGCCUGAUGCAGCAACGCCGCGUGAGGGAAGAAGGAUUUCGGCACGUAAACUUCUAUCAACAGGGACGAAAGCAAUGACGGUACCUGACCAAGAAGCCCCGGCUAACUACGUGCCAGCAGCCGCGGUAAUACGUAGGGGGCAAGCGUUAUCCGGAAUUACUGGGUGUAAAGGGUGAGUAGGCGGCAUGGUAAGCCUGAUGUGAAAGCCGGGGGCUUAACCCGAGGAUUGCACUUGGAACUGUAAAGCUGGAGUGCAGGAGAGGUAAGCGGAAUUCCUAGUGUAGCGGUGAAAUGCGUAGAUAUUAGGAAGAACACCAGUGGCGAAGGCGGCUUACUGGACUGAAACUGACGCUGAGGCACGAAAGCGUGGGGAGCGAACAGGAUUAGAUACCCGUGUAGUC
rnacentral:rRNA from 1 species